UACAGAGGUCUCAAGCGUUGUUCGGAUUCAUUGGGCGUAAAGAGCGCGUAGGCGGUCCGGUAAGUCGGCUGUGAAAGUCAAGGGCUCAACCCUUGAAAGCCGGCCGAUACUGUCGGACUAGAGUCCGGAAGAGGCGAGUGGAAUUCCCGGUGUAGCGGUGAAAUGCGCAGAUAUCGGGAGGAACACCGGUGGCGAAGGCGGUUCUCUGGGACGGUACUGACGCUGAGACGCGAAAGCGUGGGGAGCGAACAGG
rnacentral:rRNA from 1 species